rnacentral:lncRNA from 1 species
AGGAGGACGAGGAGGACGAGGAGGAGGAGGAGGAGGAGGAGGAGGAGGAGGAGGACGAGGACGAGGAGGACGAGGAGGACGAGGAGGACGAGGAGGAGGACGAGGGGGAGGACGAGGAGGACGAGGAGGACGAGGAGGACGAGGAGGACGAGGAGGACGAGGAGGACGAGGAGGAGGACGAGGAGGACGAGGAGGACGAGGACGAGGACGAGGAGGACGAGGAGGAGGAGGAGGAGGAGGAGGAGGAGGACGAGGACGAGGACGAGGACGAGGAGGACGAGGAGGACGAGGAGGACGAGGAGGACGAGGAGGACGAGGAGGAGGAGGCAGGCAUAUGGCAUCCGUGAAUUGCUGAGAGAGGAUAACUGUCUGAUGUAAGAGGCACACCCCCUGGAUCUCUUCUACCAUGGAGGUACCCAAAGAUGGUAACACGCUGAGAUCUGACAACUGGAGUUGUGAGGACUCAGACAGGAAAUCUGGCUCAUGUGCUCUGCGGCCUCACUGGGAGAUCCAGUAAGGUAUUAGCCUCCUGUGGAGUCUAUAUCUCUUUAUUUAGGCUGGAUGCCUGAAACAUCCAGGCUUCCAAGCCAAUCUGGGACUCUGUCUCUUUUAUCUUCAUCCCUUCAGUGAAGAGAAUUCCCUCCUUUGGCAUAGCCAUGGCUAGGUGACAGGUGCUGGGACUCUCACUACAUGAAUAUCCCUAGAAUAUCCCUAGUCUCUGAGAUUUGACCUCAUACCUGUCUCUCUGUGGUAAGGUUUCAGGGCUCACUCUCAGUGAAUUACACCCACAUACAUCGACACACCUGUUCCAUCCCUCAGAAAAGCAGACAAGUUUUCUGAAGUUCUCUUCUGCCUUCUUGCCCUAUUGGUGUGUGACUGAUGUUUUCAAACAUGGUGAACAGGUGUUUGAGACUGCUGCUGGCAAAAACAAAAACAAAAGCUAUUUUACAAUAAUUCUAUUCAUAAGACAGCAAGUCUUUUUUUUUACAAAUUGGUAAUUUUAAUGUAUAUAAAUAACAAUAUGUCUUCAGCAUCCUUCAGGACCCUGAUAAUUACAAUAUCUAACCAUCAUUUCUCUGUUGCACACUUUUCCAUCUCAUCUUAACUUUUCUUUUCUUUUUUAAUGUUUUAUUAUUAUGCAUUAAUGUUAAGUACUAAUGGGCUUCAUUAUGGCAUUUUUAUAAGUGUAUAUAACGUAUUUCAGUGAUAGCCACACAACUCUGUUACUCUUUCCUGUCCCCAACCCACUCCCACUAAUAUCUUCUCCUUUCCUAUUAGUAUGUCCUACUCCCAACCCACCCUGGUAUUUGUGUGUGUGAGUGUGUGUGUGUCUGUCUGUCUAUGUCUGUGUCUGUCUGUCUGUCUAUGUCUGUGUGUGUAUGUGUAUCUCUGUGUGUGUGUGUGUGUGUGUGUGUGUGUGUAGAGAGAGAGAGAGAGAGAGAGAGAGAAAGAGAAAGAGAGAGGAAGAGAGAGAAAGAGAGAGUGUGUGUGUAUGUGUUCAGAUUACUGUUAAGAUGCUAGUGUGUGCUCUCUCCAGUUUCUUUUUGGAGGCACUCAGAACUGAGUUUUCUCUUAGCAAUGCUUUCAUUGUGUCCCAUGCCUUCAUUUUCAUUAAAUUCUAAAAAGUUUUUAAUUUCUUUCUUCAUUUCUUCCUUGACCAAGUUACCAUUGAGGAGAGCAUUGUUCAUCUUCCACAUGUAUGUGGGCUUUCUGGUUUUUUGUUGCUGUUGGAAUUUAAGAACAGUCUUAGUCCGCAGUGAUCUGACAGGACUGUGGCUUGUCCCUCCUGCAAGCCUGUGUGUCAGUACUCCUGGGAGACCAGUUCUCUCAGGAAGAAAUUCAGGUAUGGAGAGCUGUGGCACAGGGUCAGUUCUGGGGUGCAGACAGAAACCGAAAGGAUCCUGUCCCAGGCUGUUCCUUAAUUCCUGUGUCCUGAUAGGUCUGGGUGGGUCCCUCUUGGGCCAGGAAUUUGAGCAGAAGUGGUGAUCUUACCUAUGCUCACAGGCGAGUCCCCACUACUGGGAGACCAGUUCUCUCCAGGCAGUAUUUGAGUAUGGAGUGCUGUGGCACAGGAUCAGCUCUGAGCACAGACCAGAGGCAGUUUUACUAGGAGAGUUUUACAGAGAGAGAGUUUAAAGAGAGAAUAAGCUAGACUCAGAAAAAGACGGAAUGAGCCAGAGAAUGAGAAGGAGCCAGAAUAUUAGAACAAAUUGCUAGAGUUAGCUUGAGGCCAAGCAGAGCAAUUCACUGAAAAGUGGAAAGAAGCCAGUUUGAAUCAGUCAGCUUGGAGAGGAGUUUGAGCCAGAACAGCUGAGUUGAACCAGCCAGCCAGAGCUCAGAAAGAACUAGAAAAGGUGAGCUUAUUCAGCAAUAGGUGUCAGAGGCUGAAAACAUUCUAGGCCUAGGUAAGAUUGGAGAGUCUAGAAGCUUCCAGGACUAGGCCUAGGUCAGCAGGCACACACACACACACAUAAAUAAUGUAAUAAUAAAUGCAAAAAACCAUAUUUCAGAUAAAACACAUGAUGAUAAACCAGAGGAAGCCACUGAAGGGCACUAUUUGGGGAAAGAGAAAACGAGCUGGAAUGGGGGAAGGGUACCUAGGAGAGGUGGAGGAGAAGACUGAAUGAAAAUAAAGAUUAAUGACCCAUGUAGAUGGUGCAUGCAUAUAAUCCUAGCAGAGGCAGGCAAAUCUUUGCAUUCCAGGCCAGCCUGGUCUACAGAAUGAGUUCAGGACAGCCAGAGCUAUACAAAGAAACCAUGUCUCCCAAAACCAAAUGACAACAACAACAAAAAAAGGCCAUGAUGGAAUCCAUCACUUUACGUGUUAACCUUAGGAUGUAAUCUUAAAAGAAAUGGUGUAGGAAAUGAUUUUACUUCAUGUUCUACAGGCAAAUAUUUUCUGGUCCAGCAUACCUCUCCCUCCCAGCCUCCUACUGUUGGAGUUUCUUGUCCACUUCUGUCUCUCCCGAGCUCUUAAAAAUCUUUUUUCCCUUUCUCUAAACCACCCUGUAAGCGAUCUACCUCCACACUCCACCAUCACUACCAUCUGACUUAUCUGUUAAGACAACCAAGGUGACGGGGGCCACUGCCCAAGGUCAGCCAUUGUGCAUACAGAACCUGCUGCCUCCGCUGGCUGUGACCGCUGCUCGGUUACCCUGAGCAUCAUGUAUACCCAGAUCAGGUUACUCCUGACACCAUCCCUGAGCAGAUGUCUAUCUUUUCCUGAUCUAGUUAUCCCCACCACCUCCUCCUUUGUUCUGGGAAAAUGGAUGCUUCCUCUACGCAGAUCCUUCCCUGGCUAUCUGUUGGGACUCACAAAGCAGGGAAUGUUCUUCCUCUGGCAUGUCUCGCCCGAGCUAGUAUCUCACCAGCAAGAAUUCACUUGGACAACCGGAUCCUUCUACGGCAAAGCUUUUAUUGCUUCAACAUAAGGAAGACCCC